GACGAACGCUGGCGGCGCGCCUAACACAUGCAAGUCGAACGAGCGAGAGAGAGCUUGCUUUCUCGAGCGAGUGGCGAACGGGUGAGUAACGCGUGAGCAACCUGCCUUUCAGAGGGGGACAACAGUUGGAAACGACUGCUAAUACCGCAUAAGCCCACGGCUCGGCAUCGAGCAGAGGGAAAAGGAGUGAUCCGCUUUGAGAUGGCCUCGCGUCCGAUUAGCUAGUUGGUGAGGUAACGGCCCACCAAGGCAACGAUCGGUAGCCGGACUGAGAGGUUGAACGGCCACAUUGGGACUGAGACACGGCCCAGACUCCUACGGGAGGCAGCAGUGGGGAAUUUUAGACAAUGGGGGGCAACCCUGAUCCAGCCAUGCCGCGUGCAGGAUGAAGGCCUUCGGGUUGUAAACUGCUUUUGUCAGGGACGAAAAGGACCGUGUUAUACCAUGGUCUGCUGACGGUACCUGAAGAAUAAGCACCGGCUAACUACGUGCCAG
rnacentral:rRNA from 1 species